GAGAAAGCUGAUGUAGGAAAGAUGCCGAGGCUCUCGGAAGAAACCCCGCAGGCUUCAGUUAAAUGCCUGCUGGGACAUCCUACAGAUGAGCAGUUACUUAACCAGAGCAUCUUAGCUGUGUAAGCGCCUGAGCUGAGCUUCCGGAACAUGUCCUUGUCUUCUGUCUUUGGAUAAAUGUUUUUGGGAGCCAAUAUCUUUCCCACAAGGUUCAGAUUCUGCAGGACGUGACCCAUCUACGUGCUACAUCAGCCAUAAGUUUCUAAUUCCUCCAGCAGUGACCCUGAAAUCCCCCUGGAGCAGAGGGUGUAGUUACAAGAUUAAGGAGGGCCACCCAAUCUAGACUGAACUUCACACAGGUCGAAUUGGGUUCCAUCCUCAAGAUUGAAAUAGUCACAACUAACUGUGACUCAGAAGCUGAGCCUGGAAUAAACUUAUCUCUGCCAGAGAGGUGGAUGGCCCCUGGACAAGGAAGCACACCCAGCAUGCAAGAACCUUAACUCCAAGGCUGCGCCACACCAGAGGGAGAGCUGGUGUGGACUCCUAAAGACCUGAGCUCUUAGCACAGACUUGCUGGGAAAAUAUCCAUCCUCCUUUGGAUGCAGAGAGACGUCAGGCAGCCAGGAGGGGCAGGAGACCCUCUAUAUGGCUUCUGUUCCAUAAUCUGACCAGGGCCAGCCCCUCUUGCGCACUGUCCUCCAACUCAACCCAACCUCUCCAGUGGAACUUGUCUCACUGCUGUUCCCCUGACCACAUCGAGUGUCCUCCUGACUCCACAGCUGAUGUCAGAGAUUGGCUUGCUGCACAAUGGGUGAAUGAAGUCACUUCAGGUUCGAUAUCACUCCUUCCUACCACAUAGCCCUUCCGCACCGGGCCUUAUGAAGAGAAACGUGUUAAUGCAUGCGGUGCACAUGAACUGACAUUCUCAGAUCGUCCACGCACUGAGGUUAUAAUUGUGGAAGCAGAGUGAAGAAAGGUAUUCUUUGAGGAAUAGGACCCCCUACUGAGUGGCUAUCAAACUGAAGAAUCUGCCUUUUGUACGAUUUCCAGCGACGGUAGAAUGCCAAUAUAUUAGUCCACAGGGGGACGUACAACUUCAGGGGAGACCAGACCCUUGUGCUCCGCCAACACACACUGUCUCUGAAGACGGGCUCCGGGGCGACGACAGCACAGCGGAGUUGGCCCAAGGCCCUCCUUCCCCUGGACUUCAUGACUGAUAACCCCACCUCUGGGGAGUCUGAUGUUCUGGUAUGACACGUAGGGACCACACUGGAAGUUACGCAGCGGAUGAUGUGUAAUUUGAUGUGAUCUAAUGGAGCGAGACAAACGUGGUUUGGGACUCUGCACGUAAGAAUGAGAAGACAGGGGAAAGAGGAGACCCCGGAAUGGCCUGCCCAAGCCCGCAUCACCAGUCCUCAGGAAGACGCUCACCUGUGGGCACAGCUGGUAGGCUCUGGGUCAACGAGCUGGGCCUGCUGGGACCUCAGGGGCCAUUGCUAGAGCUGUAAGAGCCUGAAUGGAAUGUGCUUGUCAGCGGCCCUUGUCAAGAGGGCUGCCAAGCCCUUGCUGGCGACAAUGAAUGGAUGUAUCUCUGAAAAGGUGAUGAAAACAGAUCAGUGACCAGAAUGUGAGUGGAACACUGGAGAGGUAGUCUCAGAGAAUGAUUCUGACUACAAGAUGUUACUUAAAACCACAGAAAUCUUGCCCAGACCCUCUUCAUGCUAAAGUUGAAUUUCCCAGCCUGUAAAGAAGUCUGGUUUCAGGAAAAGGUUCUAAAACGACUUCAUAGAGCAUGGACCCCAGAGACAGCUCAGUAGGGGCAGCAGCAGUCCAACGAAGACUCGCUCACUUGUAGAGCAUCGACUACGCACCAGGCACUGUGUAGGGGCUUUACAGACAUAUUUUUUCCAGACUAUUAGUCCUCCCUUUUGUAAAACAACAAAAAAACAACAAAAACCCUUUUCCUUUAGGCUGUGACCACCUGCAGCAGGCGGGAGAGGGAUGACUAAUAUAAUCAAAUGGAACUCUCUUCCAUGGCCCCAUGCUGACCCUUGUCAUCACUGAAACCGCUCCUUCUUCUGAAUCAGUGACCUCAGUAUGUCCGUCUCCCACCGUCUCCUCCUGCCAGUCCUUCCAAGUUGCUUAUCCACCACUCCUGCAGCCACGUUCUAACCUCGUCAGCACCUGCAGUCCACUGAACCUCCUAUUCACCCCAUCAUAUAUAUGCCUUCCCCUAUCCUCACUUGCUUUUUAUGCAUCGUAGAAUCCCUGGUCCAUCAUCAGGCCCUGCAUUCCUGCAUCUGCUGAGUUUUAGUGGCACAAUGCUGCUGGAGGAAGUCACACACCAGAGAGCUGCGUCUCACUCUGAAUUCACUGAUUCCUCUCAAUAAUUAGAUAUUACCUCUUAAAUAGUUCUCAAAUUACUCGUCUCUUUCCAUUUUCACCAUUACCACUGUUAAAAAUGAUUAAAGACGACAAUUUAGGCGAUACAAACAAACUUUAUUUAACACAAAGCAUUAAAGCUCAUGAAGUGAGUAGUCUCUAUUCCUAAGGGUCCAGAGAACUGCAAAAUGGCUGGAAGCCAGGAAGCUUUUAUGGGAUAAAGAAGAAGGAACAAGGAAGAGAAAAACAGAGAGUGAAUAGGGAACAAGGAAGUUGGUACAGAGCCCAGAGCUGGCUUCGUAUUGUUACCGAAACCGAAGUGGGUUCCUUCCUGGUGAGUUAAAUCAGACUCUCCACCAGAAGGAGUUGUCUCACAGUAAAGUAUAUUUGUGGCAAAUAGGAGACCACGAGGAAUCAUUUCCAGAGUUCCGGCGUCCCCGAAGAAAGGGAAGCAGGGACAUUUAUUUCGGAUGGGGAAUGAAUAUUCAAAAGGGAGAGAUGGGUAUUCGCUUGCGCAGGCUCAGUUAGAAGACAUUCUUCCACACACACUGCGGGUUACAGUGAUAAGGCCUAAGCUCCUCCUGGAGAGAUCUUAGCAUUAAAAAUAAGGCAAAGGUCAUAGGUGUAGCUCUUGUGGUGAGGCUUGGUCUGGUUCAGGGAGGGUGGUGAUGACAUCUCCUUAACAGAACAAAAGGAAAACGAACAAUUUGAAAAAGCAGUUAAAAUAUCCGCCCCACCCUUGAGUUCCUUGGGGUAACUAGCUGGUGACUGUUUGGGGGCUGGCUGAGUGGACACACUGCGUUUCUGGUCAAGAAGAACAUUCAGAGGAAUGUGAAAGUCUUCUAAAUUUCAUUUUGCUGACGUGGCUUUCUGGGCUGGAGUGGCUCCAUUCUAGGCCUAGAAAUGCAUUCCAGGAUCGCUUUAAUCCAACCUGCCGUCAUCUCUGUCUGAGACUCAUAACAGCUUGUGCAGGUUGGCCUGCAGUCACUCAUCAUCUCCCUCCCACCCCGUCGUCCCCC
rnacentral:lncRNA from 1 species